CCCUUAGAGUUUGAUCCUGGCUCAGGAUGAACGCUAGCUACAGGCUUAACACAUGCAAGUCGAGGGGCAGCAUGGUCUUAGCUUGCUAAGGCUGAUGGCGACCGGCGCACGGGUGAGUAACACGUAUCCAACCUGCCGUCUACUCUUGGCCAGCCUUCUGAAAGGAAGAUUAAUCCAGGAUGGGAUCAUGAGUUCACAUGUCCGCAUGAUUAAAGGUAUUUUCCGGUAGACGAUGGGGAUGCGUUCCAUUAGAUAGUAGGCGGGGUAACGGCCCACCUAGUCAACGAUGGAUAGGGGUUCUGAGAGGAAGGUCCCCCACAUUGGAACUGAGACACGGUCCAAACUCCUACGGGAGGCAGCAGUGAGGAAUAUUGGUCAAUGGGCGAUGGCCUGAACCAGCCAAGUAGCGUGAAGGAUGACUGCCCUAUGGGUUGUAAACUUCUUUUAUAAAGGAAUAAAGUCGGGUAUGCAUA
rnacentral:rRNA from 1 species